CCUACGGGUGGCAGCAGUGGGGAAUAUUGGACAAUGGGGGGAACCCUGAUCCAGCCAUGCCGCGUGUGUGAAGAAGGCCCUCGGGUUGUAAAGCACUUUCAGUGAGGAAGAACGCCUGGUGGUUAAUACCCAUCAGGAAAGACAUCACUCACAGAAGAAGCACCGGCUAACUCCGUGCCAGCAGCCGCGGUAAUACGGAGGGUGCGAGCGUUAAUCGGAAUUACUGGGCGUAAAGCGCGCGUAGGUGGCUUGAUAAACCGGUUGUGAAAGCCCCGGGCUCAACCUGGGAACGGCAUCCGGAACUGUCAAGCUAGAGUGCAGGAGAGGAAGGUAGAAUUCCCGGUGUAGCGGUGAAAUGCGUAGAGAUCGGGAGGAAUACCAGUGGCGAAGGCGGCCUUCUGGACUGACACUGACACUGAGGUGCGAAAGCGUGGGUAGCAAACAGGAUUAGAUACCCUAGUAGUC
rnacentral:rRNA from 1 species